AAACUCAAAUGAUUAAUUUAACAAAAUCACUCGCCAGAAUACUACAAGCAACAGCUUAAAACUCAAAGGACUUGGGGGUGCUUCAAUCCCCUCUAGAGGAGCCUGUUCUACAAUCGAUAAACCCCGAUAAACCUCACCACCCCUUGCUAAUUCAACCUAUAUACCGCCAUCCCCAGCAAACCCUAGCAAGGUCACAAAGUAAGCACAAGCAUUCAACAUAAAAACGUUAGGUCAAGGUGUAGUCCAUGGGGUGGAUAGAUAUGGGCUACAUUUUCUAAUAACAGAAAAAUAUCGCACCACAACCCCUAUGAAACUUGGGGCCAAAGGAGGAUUUAGUAGUAAACCGAGAAUAGAGAGCUCCAUUGAAUAAGGGCAUAAAGC
rnacentral:rRNA from 1 species